UACGUAGGGUGCGAGCGUUAAUCGGAAUUACUGGGCGUAAAGCGUGCGCAGGCGGUUUUUUAAGCCAGCUGUGAAAUCCCCGGGCUUAACCUGGGAAUGGCAUUUGGGACUGCAAGGCUUGAGUGCGGCAGAGGAGACUGGAAUUCCUGGUGUAGCAGUGAAAUGCGUAGAUAUCAGGAGGAACACCGAUGGCGAAGGCAGGUCUCUGGGCUGACACUGACGCUCAUGCACGAAAGCGUGGGGAGCAAACAGG
rnacentral:rRNA from 1 species